rnacentral:rRNA from 1 species
AUGGCGUUCGCGGAUGUAUCUAUUGAUAACUUUCCAUGGACGGCAUAUGCUCAUGGAUAUUUCUUGGUCCUUGGAGCGCCGGUCAUCAACCCUGCGAGGGCUCCCGGUGAGAUUAACGGCGCCUUCUUUCGAAAUAAUGUUCACUACCUACAAGGGGAUUUCGCACUUCAGCAUGGAAUGUCCGGUGGACCAGUUACUAUGGGAAACAGAGUCAUUGGAGUCAGUACCGCAGUUGCGUGGGGACCGAGCGUCAUUAUUUCCCUGCAUACUCUACACAUGACACUUAUGUUUUGGUGUGGUCUUAAUGACGGAGACCCUACUAUUGAUGAGAUGCUAGAAAUGCUUGCUGCUGGUGCCGCCUAA